CCUACGGGUGGCAGCAGUGGGGAAUAUUGCACAAUGGGGGAAACCCUGAUGCAGCCAUGCCGCGUGUGUGAAGAAGGCCUUCGGGUUGUAAAGCACUUUCAGUUGUGAGGAAAAGUUAGUAGUUAAUACCUGCUAGCCGUGACGUUAACAACAGAAGAAGCACCGGCUAACUCCGUGCCAGCAGCCGCGGUAAUACGGAGGGUGCGAGCGUUAAUCGGAAUUACUGGGCGUAAAGCGCACGCAGGCGGUUUGUUAAGCUAGAUGUGAAAGCCCCGGGCUCAACCUGGGAUGGUCAUUUAGAACUGGCAGGCUAGAGUCUUGGAGAGGGGAGUGGAAUUCCAGGUGUAGCGGUGAAAUGCGUAGAUAUCUGGAGGAACAUCAGUGGCGAAGGCGACUCCCUGGCCAAAGACUGACGCUCAUGUGCGAAAGUGUGGGUAGCGAACAGGAUUAGAUACCCCUGUAGUC
rnacentral:rRNA from 1 species